rnacentral:ncRNA from 12 species
UUGCUUCUUGCAUGGUGGUGGAAAUCCAUAACGUACUGGAAGACGUGGGACACCUAAACAAGAGGCUUUU